CUGAAAGCAACACGGGUCCUCAGUUCUUGCCCACGGAUUCGCCGUUUUAAUGUGGACGGGAGGCGGAAACGUAGUAAAAGGUCUCCAUUUUGCCCACAGUACCCACCUUCCUUCUGGCUGCCUGCGGCUGACACGCUCUGCUGGGACAGCAGGCUCUGGUUGUACAGACUGGGGAGCGCAGCAGCAGCAUACUGCUGGAUGCCUGAGUAGGCCUGGCUCAGUGCCUCCAUGGUGUUUCCUGAGCCAUUAGAAAGGCUGCCAUUCAGCGCUGCCAUGCCUGCAGAGUUACAAGAAAACAAAAAAACAGCUUCCUGGGAUCUUUUCCUCACUCAGAUGGCUUAGAAAACCUCAAAGGACCAGCUGGACCCUCAAAAGCUCAAUGUGCUCAUAG